rnacentral:rRNA from 1 species
CAUAGGUUAAUGAGGCGAACCGGGGGAACUGAAACAUCUAAGUACCCCGAGGAAAAGAAAUCAACCGAGAUUCCCCCAGUAGCGGCGAGCGAACGGGGAGCAGCCCAGAGCCUGAAUCAGUGUGUGUGUUAGUGGAAGCGUCUGGAAAGGCGCGCGAUACAGGGUGACAGCCCCGUACACAAAAAUGCACAUACUGUGAGCUCGAUGAGUAGGGCGGGACACGUGGUAUCCUGUCUGAAUAUGGGGGGACCAUCCUCCAAGGCUAAAUACUCCUGACUGACCGAUAGUGAACCAGUACCGUGAGGGAAAGGCGAAAAGAACCCCGGCGAGGGGAGUGAAAAAGAACCUGAAACCGUGUACGUACAAGCAGUGGGAGCACGCUUAGGCGUGUGACUGCGUACCUUUUGUAUAAUGGGUCAGCGACUUAUAUUCUGUAGCAAGGUUAACCGAAUAGGGGAGCCGAAGGGAAACCGAGUCUUAACUGGGCGUUAAGUUGCAGGGUAUAGACCCGAAACCCGGUGAUCUAGCCAUGGGCAGGUUGAAGGUUGGGUAACACUAACUGGAGGACCGAACCGACUAAUGUUGAAAAAUUAGCGGAUGACUUGUGGCUGGGGGUGAAAGGCCAAUCAAACCGGGAGAUAGCUGGUUCUCCCCGAAAGCUAUUUAGGUAGCGCCUCGUGAAUUCAUCUCCGGGGGUAGAGCACUGUUUCGGCAAGGGGGUCAUCCCGACUUACCAACCCGAUGCAAACUGCGAAUACCGGAGAAUGUUAUCACGGGAGACACACGGCGGGUGCUAACGUCCGUCGUGAAGAGGGAAACAACCCAGACCGCCAGCUAAGGUCCCAAAGUCAUGGUUAAGUGGGAAACGAUGUGGGAAGGCCCAGACAGCCAGGAUGUUGGCUUAGAAGCAGCCAUCAUUUAAAGAAAGCGUAAUAGCUCACUGGUCGAGUCGGCCUGCGCGGAAGAUGUAACGGGGCUAAACCAUGCACCGAAGCUGCGGCAGCGACGCUGAUGCGUUGUUGGGUAGGGGAGCGUUCUGU